AUAAAUCGUAGGAGAUAAACCCACAGCCAUCCAUUUUUAUAAUGGUUUGAAGACCAAUCUUCCAUAUUUUUUCUUUAUCAUUUUUUAGUACUUCUUGAAAAAUUAUGCACAAGUUACCAUGCAGAUCUUACUUCCUCCCGGAAGUAUCAGCGUGAUCGUCCUGUCAUCCAAUGAAAUCAUUCUAAACAGUAGGCUCACCGAACUACAUGCACAUGUUACAAUGUGGGACUCACAAGGAAUCCGCUACUUGAAUUGAUUUCACUAAUGGAGGGACUUGAUGGGAGGUCUAUAUUUGAAGACCAUUUUUUUUUUUCGCCCAUUAUUAUGAGCGAAAAAAUGGUGCAAAAUUGAGUAGAGUUUUAUAUUAAGUAAGAGCAAUUAAGUUGUUCAUGUACUUUCAUGAUUAUAGGUCUAAAUUUGCAUUCCAAACAGGACUCGACUUGGAAUUUGUGUUUGACAAAUGAAUCCUGGAAACCAGAGUCAAAGUCAUCGGCAGUAGGAAGAAGCGGCGGAUGCAUGAUGCAUCAGCAAGGUGGAGAGGGGACUAGAGUGGAAAGCAUGCUUUCAAAACAAGCAGCAGCUACAAAGGAGAGGCUGGACUUGACUGAGAAUUAUAGAGACUUCUCGCCUAACCAAAGCCCAUUUUCCUAAUUCUAUGAGAGUUAGUGCUAAUUACAGAGCCUUGUAAUCUUCAAAACACAAACAGAAAUCUGCCAGGCAGGGGAAUUUUCCAUCCAGGACAUCAACCGGCUAGUGAAAAUCCAUACACACAUGAAUCUUUUGUAGGCACCCUGUUCUGAUUGAAGUAUGUGGCUCAUAUUGAGUGAAACACAUAUACAGAAAAAGCAUGUUGAGAAAAAACAAAGAAGAUGGUCUGCAGGAAGAAACAGUCGACGGUUUGAUCAACGGUUUCAUCGACUGUUCUGGCUCAGGAAGAAACCGUCGACGUUUUGUCUGAAACUAUUGACGGUUUUGUUCGGUGCUAUUUUUGAAUUUUGAGUUGGGAAUAUCAAUAGGUUAGGGAUUUGGAGGCAAAUCCUCUAGGGAUUGAUACAGGGGAAUUUAGGGAACUUUUUAAUCCCUCUAUACGUGUAGAGUUAGCAUAUAUACAAUGUUGUAACUGUGAUUUUUAUUAAUAGUGAAUUCCAGCCGCCGCUUGCUCCCGUGGACACAAGCAUUUUGCCGAACCACGUUAA